AGUUACUUCCUGGACAACCUUUCACACUCGCAAUAGCAUCACUCCCCUGGACACGGAUCUCCAUUUGCUCCUCAACAGCUCACUCUUUUUUAUCCAUUCGUGCAUUACUCCACCUGCAAACAAUGCCUGUAGAGGCUACGCCUACACUUGAAGCCACUGAAGGGUUUGAUGGCAGGGGUGAGGCAAUGUAACUGUUAUGAAUUAAACUUGUAACAGCCCAACUCAAUCUAUACUUGUCUUGUACGGUUAAGAUUGUUUUUGUAUUCAUCAGUUUUAUUUGCUUCUCUUUAUUCAAUGUCAUUUAUCAUAACAGCGCAGAGUUUACAAA